rnacentral:rRNA from 1 species
GCAUAACGCGAAGAACCUUACCUACUCUUGACAUCUAGCGAAGAUUGCAGAGAUGCAGUUGUGCCUUCGGGAACGCUAAGACAGGUGCUGCAUGGCUGUCGUCAGCUCGUGUUGUGAAAUGUUGGGUUAAGUCCCGCAACGAGCGCAACCCUUAUCCUUAGUUGCCAGCACGUAAUGGUGGGAACUCUAGGGAGACUGCCGGUGAUAAACCGGAGGAAGGUGGGACGACGUCAAGUCAUCAUGGCCCUUACGAGUAGGGCUACACACGUGCUACAAUGGUACGUACAGAGGGAGGCAAGCUGGCGACAGUGAGCGGAUCUCUUAAAGCGUAUCGUAGUCCGGAUCGCAGUCUGCAACUCGACUGCGUGAAGUCGGAAUCGCUAGUAAUCGCAAAUCAGAAUGUUGCGGUGAAUA